rnacentral:lncRNA from 1 species
UUUUAGCCAUUCAGAAAAGUAUGAGGUGAUAUCCUAUAGUUUUGAUUUUCUUUUUUUUCUUUUUAAUUUUUAUUUAUUUAUGAUAGUCACACAAGAGAGAGAGAGGCAGAGACACAGGCAGAGGGAGAAGCAGGCUCCAUGCACCGGAGCCCGACGUGGGAUUCGAUCCCAGGUCUCCAGGAUCGUGCCCUGGACCAAAGGCCCGCGCCAAACCGCUGCGCCACCGAGGGAACCCUAGUUUUGAUUUUCAUUUCCCUGAGAAUGAGUGAUGUUGAGCAUCUUUUCAGUUGUCUAUUGGCCAUGGAUGCCUUCUUUGUAGAAAGAUCUGUUCAUGUCUUCUAUUUUUUAAUUAGAAAAAUAACUUUUUUUAAAAAAGAAAACGUUGGAGGAAGAUCUCAAUGUAUCAUUUAAAAGAAACAACAAAUAUAAUUAAUGCAUGUAAAUCAAAUUUGCAACAUGACAAAACGACACACAAGUCUCUAGGUUAUUACAAAUCUAAAGUAAUUUUUAAAAACAAUCCCAAAACAAAUUAUGAUGAAUGCCAAAGAUAACAACAGAAACUUGUAUUGGUUGUUUCAAGACUAAAAAGUAUCUAAAAAGUCCACAACAUUUUAGGGAGAUUGUUAAUAACAUACUCCAUAAAACUAGUUAAGAAUUCACCCCAUAUUAUCAAAUACAGAAGGUCAUUUGUGAUGGAAAUAUGAAAAACAUCGCCUGGAGAAGAAAUCAGAGAAGUUCUCAGUUCCAUCCAACUCAUCAUCUUCCUUCAUAAGCGCACUACUCCAUAUUCAUGCAUUAUGCCUAACUACAUUAAGAUUAUAAGGAAAAAGCAAAUCAGAUUGUACUCUAUUUUCUUGCCAAGUGAACACUGUGAAAUAUAUCGACCUCUGCCUCUAGCAACUUGUUGGCUGAAAGUAGGAAAAGUUACUAAAAGCUUAUUUUUCUGUCAGUAGCUAACUUGGAAAAAUUAGGAGUAAUCAUACAGUGGAAAAUGUACUUUUUAGUUUCCGAUAUAGUGGCAAUAUCUGCUAGUCAUUCAGACGUAAAAGGGUACCCAUGAAAUAGUUUUUUGCAAGCCCAUUUUCACUAACUAAAAAAAUAAAAUACCAAAAACGUCAUGCUCACAGAGGUAUACAAUAGCUGUUUACAAUUAAAACAACUAACAUAUUCCAGGGCCUUGUCCUAUGACAUCACAAUAUUCCGUUUCAAGGGGUAAAAAAUUUUGGAUUUCAUUCAUUUGGUGAAUAUUUAUUGAAUGCUUAUGUCCUACAGACUCCAUUCUGGGUACUAAACAAAUUCAUAAAAUUGUGUUCUCAUAUAAUUUAUAUUCUAAUGGUAUAGAAUGAAAAAUAAGUAAACCCACAAUGAAGAAAAAGAAAAGAAAUAUCCAACAUAAUUUCUAUGUGGGAAUUAAGUUAAUGUGGUCAAGAGUAAAUUUAGGUCUUCAGGGAAGAUCUCUGGUCUGUCUAAUUCCUUAAUGAAAAGCAAAAAUGAGACAUAGAGGUACCCGGGGAAGCAUUCUAGGUAGAGUGAAUAGCCUGUAGACCUCAAGGCAAGACAAUAUUUCGUGUAUUUAAGGAUCUGAAAGAAAGCCAUUGUGGUUGAAAUGUCAUGGACAAUGCAAACUGUUAUUAGUUUCCUAGGGCUGUCAUCACGAAUCACCACAAACUGAUGCCUCAAAGCAAAAGAAAUUCAUUCUCUCAUUGUUCUAGAGACCAAAAUAUCUGAAAUCCAGCUUUCAGCCAGGUCCUGUUGUCUCAGAAUGUUCCAGCUUUUCUUAGGUCACAAUCCUAAAUUGUGGGCAAUCCUUGGCAUUUUUGGCUCUUUUCUUGCCUCCCUUCCUAGCUCGUUGUGGUUGUGGGCAAUCCUUGGCAUCUUUGGCUGUAGUUGAAUAAUUUCAAUUUUGUCUCCACCUUGCAUGGCCAUCCUCCCUUUGCAUGCGUCUGUUGUCUGUGCCCAAACCAGCUCUGCUUAUAAAAACACUAGUCAUUGGAUUUAGUGGCUCCCCUAACCCACUGCGACCAUAUCUUGAAUUGAUCACAUCUACAAAGGCCCUAUUUUCAAAUAAGGUCACAUUCACAAGUACCAAGGGUUACAACUUCACCUUAUUCUGGGGAAUUCAAAUUAACCAACAACAGGAACUAAUAAAAAUCUUGCACGAACUAAAUACUAAAUGAUGACAUUGAUCAUGAGAAUGUAAACAUAUUCACAGUUUUCUUCUGUGAUAUUGUAAAAAAUACUUUUCUCUAAAUAAAAAGAGUGAUCAUAAAGUCAUACUAUAACUGCCAUCUCAUGGGGAGCUUACUCCUAUUACAGGAAACUAUGCUCCCUAUAACCCUUUGGUAACUUAUAUAUCUCUGAUCUAUCAUAUUUAAAAACAUGCAUAUUCGCUAUUUUUAUAUAUCAUUAAAGGCAAAUCAAAGACAAGGAAAUAAUCAGUUAUAUGAGGCUCUUGCCAACAAAGAGAUAAUAUUCCUGUUCAAGAGACACAUUUUCUACCCCCGGAGUUGCUAUGUAAGCAGCUUCUCACUUGGAGAUUCAUACUGAGGGCACUUAAAGUGGAUAUUACACUCACUGUUGAGGUUUACAUUUCACAGCAAGGUUCAAUGCUUGUUUAAUAAAGCAAGUCCAAAACCUGAGUGAAAAAAACUAUUAGAAGAUUAAAAGAUCAUAUGAUCCAACCUUACUUACAUCAAUGAUUCUAAUCUUUUUCUAUCUCCAUACUAUUCACAUUUGCCAGAAAGUCCUCUAAGAUCUCUCAUUAGAAUGAGAGUUUCUAGACUUGCAUCAGUACACACCUGGGAUGCAGGGUGUUUAAAUUCAUAGGCCCCAUUCUAUGGCAUCACAGAGCUCCUGCAUUUCCUCAUCUCUAAAAAAAUAGGAAUACAAAAUAAAUUUCAUAUUUCAGUAAAAGAAAUUUUAAAUAAAUUAUAAAUAUGAUUAUAAAUUAGAAGCAACUUAUAAAAUCAGGAUACUUUGGUGACUGUCGGUUAAGCAUCUGCCUUUGGCUGGGGUCAUGAUCUCAGGGUUCUGGGAUUGAGCCCCAUGAUGGGCUCCCAGCUCAGCUCUGCUCCUUUCUCACCCUGCUUAUGCUCUCUCUCUCUCUCUCAAAUAAAUAAAAUCUUUUUUUAAAAAAAGUAAAUUAUAAAAUAUGAAUAUAAACACUUGGCACAGUACCUGAUGUGCAAAUAAUCACUAAAUGGCUUAUGUCAGUUUUAAUAACCUAUAUAUAUAUAUCAAUCAGAAAUAGGUUUUGGCCUUUUUUUUUUUUUUUUUUUUUUUUUUUUGGUAAGUAGGCUCCAUGCCCACCAUGGAGCCCAACACAGGGCUUGAAAUCACAACCUUGAGAUCAAAACCUAAACUGAGAUCAAGAGUCGAUGUUUAACUGAUUGAGCCACCCAGGCACCCGUUGGCUGAUUUUAUUCAGUACCAACUCUUAGGGUACUCUUUAAUAGAAAAUAGAAGAGUCUUAUAUUGAGAUUAAAUAUAAGCAUAAAUUUUUUAAAGUAAUUAUGUAUUAUUAUAAAUGUAUUAUAAAUAAUACAUUAACAUUUUAAUACAAAUAUAAUACAUUUGCCUCUCGUUAUGGUUAUGUUCUUUAUCCUUACUUAUGGUGCUCCUUUCUAAGUCCUGGAAUUAAUAACUUUUCCUGCCUACCAAAAUUUAACUGUACUUCCUCAUUUUCCUCCAAAACAGAACUCUUCUCUCUGCUUUUCAAUUUUGAUACUUAGUAAAUCUGAUGAAAAUGUCCCUGUUAAUAGUGUGAUGGCAAUGCAUUCCAGCACCUAUUUCUAGAUCCAGAUAAUACAUAACAGUUCCAAAAAUACAUAGCAUGUAUUUGGUAGCCUCCCGGAGACAAUGAUUUCACAUCUGUUGUAGUUUCCAAAAGAGGGAUUUCAAUGGUGUGAAUUUAAAGCCAGGAAAAAGAGGAAAUGAUGACAAGGUACGAUGAAAAAGGCAAUUCUCAGGGAUCCUCCAAUUUCCUCUCUAUAAGUUCUUCCAUUUUAGCAAUAAUCAUAUCUUUACACAAAUGUGAUAAAGUUCCCUCAUACUUCAAGCAUUGUCAAUAUAAAGUUUUUAGAUCUUUAGCAGCAGAUGACAGAGGUGCUUUUAAUCACACAUAUAGACACACACACUUCACAUGACCAGUAUUUAUUAUGUAUCCAUUCAAACAUACACUCUG